rnacentral:rRNA from 1 species
UUUGCUGGUAACUACCUCUCUGCAACUCAACCAGGGUCACCCACUGAAGCUGAGCAGAGCUGCACCCGGUUAGUACCUCGAUGGGAGACCACAUGGGACAGCUAGGUUGCUGCCGAAG